rnacentral:misc_RNA from 1 species
UGUGAUCACUGGUUUGAUGCCGUAGCAGUUUCAGCUGAGGUAGAAGCAGAGAAGCCUAAUCCAACAAUAUUUUUAAAAGCUUGUGAGUUACUAGGAGUAAAUCCAGAUGAUGCUGUUCAUGUAGGCGAUGAUCGUAGAAAUGACAUUUGGGGUGCUAGAGAUGCAGGUUGUGAUGCCUGGCUGUGGGGAAGCGACGUUGUCUCCUUCAAAGAGGUUGCUCAGAGAAUAGGCGUGGAGGUCUGAAAGGGUAAUAUUAGUAGAUGCUUACGUUGUGUAAAAAGCCGCUGCUCGUGUAGAA